AGUGAACGCUGGCGGUAGGCCUAACACAUGCAAGUCGAACGGCAGCACAGUAAGAGCUUGCUCUUACGGGUGGCGAGUGGCGGACGGGUGAGGAAUACAUCGGAAUCUACUUUUUCGUGGGGGCUAACGUAGGGAAACGUACGCUAAUACCGCAUACGACCUACGGGUGAAAGCAGGGGAUCUUCGGACCUUGCGCGAUUGAAUGAGCCGAUGUCGGAUUAGCUAGUUGGCGGGGUAAAGGCCCACCAAGGCGACGAUCCGUAGCUGGUCUGAGAGGAUGAUCAGCCACACUGGAACUGAGACACGGUCCAGACUCCUACGGGAGGCAGCAGUGGGGAAUAUUGGACAAUGGGCGCAAGCCUGAUCCAGCCAUACCGCGUGGGUGAAGAAGGCCUUCGGGUUGUAAAGCCCUUUUGUUGGGAAAGAAAAGCAGCAGGUUAAUACCCCGCUGUUCUGACGGUACCCAAAGAAUAAGCACCGGCUAACUUCGUG
rnacentral:rRNA from 1 species